rnacentral:rRNA from 1 species
UACGGAGGGAGCUAGCGUUGUUCGGAAUUACUGGGCGUAAAGCGCGCGUAGGCGGCUUUGUAAGUUAGAGGUGAAAGACCGGGGCUCAACUCCGGUUCUGCAGUGGGUACGGGCAGACUAGAGUGAUGUAGGGGAGACUGGAAUUCCUGGUGUAGCGGUGAAAUGCGCAGAUAUCAGGAGGAACACCGGUGGUGUAGACGGCUUUCUGGACCGUAACUGACGCUGAGACACGAAAGCGUGGGUAGCAAACAGG